AUUGAACGCUGGCGGCAGGCUUAACACAUGCAAGUCGAGCGAGCGGCGGACGGGUGAGUCAUGUCUGGGAAACUGCCUGAUGGAGGGGGAUAACUCCUGGAAACGGUAGCUAAUACCGCAUACCAUCAGAUGUGCCCAUGUGGGAUUAGCUAGUAGGUGGGGUAAUGGCUCACCAAGGCGACGAUCCCUAGCUGGUCUGAGAGGAUGACCAGCCACACUGGAACUGAGACACGGUCCAGACUCCUACGUGAGGCAGCAGUGGGGAAUAUUGCACAAUGUGCGCAAGCCUGAUGCAGCAAGGCCGCGUGUGUGAAGAAGGCCUUCGGGUUGUAAAGCACGUUCAGCGAGGAGGCGUUACUCGCAGAGGAAGCACCGGCUAACUCCGUGCCAGCAGCCGCGGUAAUUC
rnacentral:rRNA from 1 species